CAGAAUCAUCUUUAUCUUACCAACGGGUCCGUCAAGGAUACUUCCAGAGGACUCUAUCAUCGGCGGGUACAGGAUACCGAAAGGGACCAAUAUCGCACUGAGCUGUCCCCGACUUCUGAAAGAUGAAAAAUAUUUCGAAAAUCCCAACUCAUUUCUUCCCGAACGUUGGCUGAGAGGAUCAAGCGGAAAGAGAGAAAGACACAUACCAAGUAUAGCACUCCUGCCGUUCAGUUUCGGGCCUAGAAUCUGCCUCGGGAGACGAUUUGCUGAGCAAGCCAUAUAUCUGGCUAUCGUGAAGCUUGUGUCGCAGUUUCAGUUGUCAGUCGGUCCAGAGGAUGAGAAUAUUGAGGUCAUAUUCCGCAUCUUCGCGACUCUGAAUAGACCGGCUGACAUCACAUUUACAAGAAGGACCUGAAGAAGAAAUGUUUUGUUCGUUUGUCAUGGAGGAGCUUCUGCGAGCUACAUUGUUGUACAUCAUGUUUGGAAUACCCCAUCAAAGAAACUCUUUUUGUCCCCUGCUCAACAUCAUAGUUAAAACUAAUCAUUCCUGAUUAUCAUAUUUUCCAAAAUCCGGCACCGUUUUCUUUGCUGUUUCCAUGUGGAUAAAUGCCUUUCUGGAAAACAGAUGUUGAUAUCUCAGAUAUCAUAUAUAUACUACCGACAAUAAGUAUGGGAACACCAAAUUAUCAAAGUAUAUCAAAGUAAAUUUAAAGUGGCAGUGUCGGUUUAUUACAAGGGUAAAUAAAACAUUAUUUGUU